rnacentral:rRNA from 1 species
CCCUUAGAUGUUCUGGGCCACACGCGCGUUACACUGAUGAAGCCAGCGAGUAUAUCGCCUUCACCGGAAGGUGCGGGUAAUCUUGUGAAACUUCAUCGUGCUGGGGAUAGACCAUUGCAAUUAUUGGUCUUGAACGAGGAAUUCCUAGUAAGCAUGAGUCAUCAACUCGUGCUGAUUACGUCCCUGCCCUUUGUACACACCGCCCGUCGCUACUACCGAUUGAAUGGUUUAGUGAGAUCUCGGGAUUGGAGACGUUGCGCCGCAAGGCACAUCGUCCUCGAGAACGUGAUCAAACUUGAUCAUUUAGAGGAAGUAAAAGUCGUAACA